CGGAAACGCAAAGGAUCUGCCAACUCUGGGGAGCAGCCAAAAGCUUCUGGAGUGCCGCCCCCAUCCACUGUCUGGUCGCGUACACACACACACACACACACUCUCACUCUCUCUAUAUCUCGGCCAGUCUCUCGGGCUCUGCCACUUUGAAAAACUACUUUCCUGCAAAAAUUCCGACAGAGGACGGCGAGGCUAGGAACGCCACUGUGCUUUAUGUGCACGCACAGAGCGAAGGUUUGCAAAGCCGAAUUGGGGGGAGGGUGUUUGUAAAUCGGCAGCGGUCGCUCGGCACCUGAGAAAUGAAACUGCUUGUGUCAGUUCAUUUCUGCUCUCGGAUAGUGACAGACCUGCUGCGUGUCUGCAAAAGGGUGUCUGCUCUUUAUCAUUUUUUGGACGGCAUUAACGCUGAGAGGAAGAUCCGGCCAAGUCAUGUUGGAGUUGGAAUGAGAGCAGUUUGAUCAGCUGCUGAAUCCACUGUGACUGCUAAUUCACCUGCCACCUUUGAGAAGACUGAAACGGUCCCUGAAGUGGCCAUUUAAAGAAUUCACCAUCAUUUUAUUUUCCUCCCUCCCAAAGACAUGAAGACAACGAAUACUAUGUCUCUCCUUUCAGAUGAUCUAUGAGGCUGUUGCAGGAUCUGGGGAGACAUUACAGUGGGCUAUAAGGCUGCCUUGCCCCUCAGAUUGUCUGGGAGUCUUUCAGGAAGCCUACAGGAAUCUACAGGAAGCCUACAGGAACAUUUCUUCCCUCUGCUCAUUGUUGUCAGUGGUUAUCACUCUAACCUGGUGAUAUGACUGAUAUCACAACCCCUGCCCUAUCUCCCCUCUCUGCCAAAAAUGACCAGGCACUGUAAGAGAGUAAUCCCUGCUUGGAGAGGACUGAAAGUAGAGCAGGCUAAUGGCAGACAGCUGGAAUUCUGAGGAAGGAGCAGAUUUAGGAGAGAAAGCACGGAGAAGGACUGGGUUUAAAAGAGUAGAAAGAGCUUUACUCUGUAUCUAACCUUGUGCUGCCCCUGUCCUGAAAGUGCUUGAUGAUGAUAUCAAGGCAGCUUUACUUUUAUUUUAAUGGUUUACUUCCAAUUCAAAACAGUAGAGAGAACUUCAAAUUCAGCUUUAAAGAGGAGAAGGGGUUUUAUAUCCAACUCUGUGCUGUACCUGCCCAGGGUGUAUUUGAUGGCAAAGGUGUCGAGAAAGCUUUACUUUCCAUUUAAUUUUAGUUCAAAAGUAGAGUAAAUUUUUCCCUGUAUCUAGCUCCAUGCUGUACCUGAACUGGGAGUUUUCAAGGGACACUUUCGAAAAAGCUUUACUUUCAGUUUAAAGGAGGAGAGAAUGGCUGGAUUUGAAAGCUGUCAGCAGGAAUAAAGAUAGGAGAUUACAACUAGAGGGGGAAGAAUGUGUGUCUGGCUUCAGAGGUAGAGAAUCACAGUCAGGUGUCAGGAAUGAGGACUUUGGAGAGGAGACCAGAGAAUGGGGUCAGAAAGAGUGUAUUGGAUAAAGAUGGCUUGGGUGAGAGAAGAGCAGAGACUAGUUGGAUUGAAGCUAGGUGAAGGGUGAGAGGUAGGAUAGGCAUGGUAUCUCCAAGACUACCUCCAAUCAGAGUUAGGAACUGUAGUGGAUUAACAGCAGUUUUACAUUGAUGAAUUUCAAAAUCACGGUACUGCAAAGCUAAAAGUCCAGCUAGGCUCAGAUCCUGAGGGUUAAGAUGUAAAUAAAUAUUAAGAAUGUUGAGGCUUGCUUUCUGGAAAAGUGAGUUUUUGCAAUGAUUUUUUUGGAAGAGUUAAAAAAUUCUGAACAGUAUUGAUAAGAGCCAGAUAUUGAUGUACAUAGGUAGAAGCUUAACAAAGCAACUAGAUAUAUUUGGGUGUCAAAGAAGUUUGAGGACAGGAAAGUCAGAUGAGUUUUAAAGAAUCAUCUGUAUUGCUGCUCCAGUGUCUUAAGACCAAGUAUAAAAUUGUAUUACACCUGUGGACCUAAAGAGUUCAAAGCUUUAAUACAAAAAGCUGUUUCCAUUAUGCAAUUACACCAGGAGGGCCAUGGUGUGGCUGGAAAGUGAAAAUAAAUGGCAAGAAAGCACCCUUUUAAAAUUGGUUAUUUGUCAGCUAUAUUAAUAGUUCGUUUGUAUGAGCACUUUUAUUGAAAGAGGGUUGAUGACAUUGUUAGGUGAAACUUGCUUGGAGAAGCUGUUGAGCCAGUAAAUGUGCAGACAUUCAAUUAUUAUCUCCAGGUACAGUUGUUAAUUAACCCAGAGUGCUUCAGUGAUCAUUCAAUUUGCACUGUUUUCUGCAUUUCCCUAGGUAAUAUGCCUGCUCAAACUUGAGUCACAGAAACCUGUCAAAGCUUUUUAUAAAAAAUAUACGACAUGUUAUCAAUGAUAAACCAAAAUAACUUCGACCAAAGUAAAAUUAGAAUACUGAGGAAUAACUAAAGGGCUUCAUUUGUGGUAUAUUGGACAUUGUGAGAAAUACUCCAUUGCAUUACACGUAACUUCCCCUGUUUUUUUUUUUGCUGUGCUGUUUGGCAUAUUGUUUUUGUCAAGGCUCACUGUUCAUUUAAAGAUCACAAUAUUACAGUUGCUGCUGUACUUACCAUUCAGGCCUAAAAACAUCAAAGUGGCAUAUGAUGCAUGGAAUCAUCAUCUCUGCUUAUUGCUGGUCAGUCAUCUUUAUCAUUGCCCAGCAACUUGACCAUAUUCUUGAUACUAUCUCUCACUCUUCUGCCUUGGCACUGGCAGUAACUUUAACCUGUUUGCUUGGGCCUCUGCACUCAACGAACCCAUUUAUGCACUUUGAACAGUCAGAGGAAGCCUUGUAUUUGAUUUCUUAUCUGAAAGAUACUGUACUAACAACGCUGCCUCUCUCAGUACGAUACUGCAAUUUCAGUCUGGAUUCUAUGUUGAAGUCCUGCACUGGAACUUAAAACCUGUCACCUUCUGACUUACCAUUAACUCCAAAAGCAAUAUCACUGAUGGUCAAACACCUUUAAAAAACAAAGCAUUUUUCUAGCCUCUCCACGACAUUUUAAGUUUGAGAUGUGAUGAAUAGAGGAGGGAUAAUUAAGGACAACCACAGCCUUUGUGUUGGAUAUGGCACUGACCAGUGGAGAUUUUGUGCAAUGAUUCUCAGGGUGAAGGGUCGGGGAUAAUGUACAGAGCACUUGUAACAUCUCGACCCCAGGCAAGAUUCCCCAAUUUCUUAUUAUUCUGGAUGAGACACCAUAUGCUCCAGCUGAGGAGGGAUAAACUGAUUCCUGUCUAUUCACCCUCGCCCUCGGUCACAACAAGCAUACUUGAAAACGAUCCCUCCCUUGUGGAUGCCUUUCUGCCAGACCAAAUGAAUUUAGGGUUUAAAAGGAGCCAAUUUAAUUAAGUUUUAUUGAGUUCACAAAAGAGUGACACCAAAAGAAUGUAUUAGUUAACAAAUGCAAAAGAAAUAAUAACACAACACAUGUACACACAAAAUAGAAAUAUAAAGUGAGUCUAAAAACAA